rnacentral:rRNA from 1 species
UACAGAGGUCCCAAGCGUUGUUCGGAUUCACUGGGCGUAAAGGGUGCGUAGGCGGUCGGGUAAGUCUGAUGUGAAAUCUCACAGCUUAACUGUGAAACUGCAUUGGAUACUAUCCGGCUCGAGGAAUGGAGGGGAGACUGGAAUACUUGGUGUAGCAGUGAAAUGCGUAGAUAUCAAGUGGAACACCAGUGGCGAAGGCGAGUUCCUGGACAGUGACUGACGCUGAGGCACGAAGGCCAGGGGAGCAAACGGG